UACGAAGGGUGCAAGCGUUAAUCGGAAUUACUGGGCGUAAAGCGUGCGUAGGCGGUUUCUUAAGUCUGCUGUGAAAGCCCUGGGCUCAACCUGGGAAUGGCGGUGGAUACUGAGAAGCUGGAGUACGGUAGAGGAAGGUGGAAUUCCCGGUGUAGCGGUGAAAUGCGUAGAUAUCGAGAAGAACACCGGUGGCGAAGGCGGCCAUCUGGACGGUGACUGACGCUGAGACGCGAAAGCGUGGGGAGCAAACAGG
rnacentral:rRNA from 1 species